UUUUAUUUUGUGAUGACUUAAUGGUGCAUAGUUCAACUGAAUUACUUAUGUAGACUUUUUAUGACAGUCUUUCGCUCCUAUCUGACUUUUUUA